rnacentral:rRNA from 1 species
GAUGAACGCUGGCGGCGUGCCUAAUACAUGCAAGUCGAGCGAACAGACGAGGAGCUUGCUCCUCUGACGUUAGCGGCGGACGGGUGAGUAACACGUGGAUAACCUACCUAUAAGACUGGGAUAACUUCGGGAAACCGGAGCUAAUACCGGAUAAUAUAUUGAACCGCAUGGUUCUAUAGUGAAAGACGGUUUUGCUGUCACUUAUAGAUGGAUCCGCGCCGCAUUAGCUAGUUGGUAAGGUAACGGCUUACCAAGGCGACGAUGCGUAGCCGACCUGAGAGGGUGAUCGGCCACACUGGAACUGAGACACGGUCCAGACUCCUACGGGAGGCAGCAGUAGGGAAUCUUACGCAAUGGGCGAAAGCCUGACGGAGCAACGCCGCGUGAGUGAUGAAGGUCUUCGGAUCGUAAAACUCUGUUAUUAGGGAAGAACAAAUGUGUAAGUAACUAUGCACGUCUUGACGGUACCUAAUCAGAAAGCCACGGCUAACUACGUG